rnacentral:lncRNA from 1 species
UUUCAUUUUCUUACCAUGACUCUGUCUAUAAAUUGUUAAAUAUGCAAUUGAAAAAAAGUUUCUCCUAGUCAGGGUAAUCAGGUAAUCUUUGUGAAUAUGGUAAUCAUCACAUUUUAACAGAAUUUCAAUUCUGGUCAGAGAUUUCAAAGCCUAUUUAGAGAGCAAAACAAAAUGAAUUAAGCUGUUUCUAAGACAUCUGUUAAAUGCCCAAACGCGUCUGGCGCUGAGAACACCAAGACGGUGCUAGGGAAACCGAGAUGAAUGAAGAAACACGCUUUCUGCCUGUGCAGUCUCCUGAUCCUUCACUUGGCCGUGUGGUAGACUGAUUGCAACAAUGUGUGCAGUUCUUCCUUUCCCUGUGUUUACAGCAAUAGUAGUGUGAUAUCAAAGCACUUUCUCUCUGUUCCCUACCCCUUGAGUCUGGGCUGGUCAGGUGACUUGCUCUGGCCAAUCACCAUAAGUGACUAUGUGCUGGUUCCAGUCUGGGACUGAGGGACUUUGUGCACCUUGUUUGCUCUCUGGGAAUGCUGCUACGGACAUAUGGAGUAAGAGACACCACACAGAGGAGAGAUGAAGUGGCCUACAGACAUCACCUGGAACAGCCAGCCCACAGCUAAGCCAGCAGUGUGCAGCAUAGAAGCCCAUAUAUUUCUCCAGGCAUAACCACAUGUGUGACAACACUCUCCAGAAGCAGAAGUGAAUUCCUCUUACAAUACAUCCAAGGAGCGUUGACUGAGGGAGAUUUCACUUUCUGUGGACCGCAGCCAUCUCUUCAGUUUCUCCCUGUUACUGAAAUCUCAUUGUUACACUCAGAAUCUGUCUUCUCCCGGGGCUUACUUUCAAAGCAUUUCACUGCCUGUGACAAGACAGACUGGAGACGAUGCUGGGAGGCUGGGGAAGGUGGCAUGCUGAAGAAAAAUGCAAGCGCCGCAGGAAGACUUCACUUCCAACUACCACUGCAGGGCCAUAGGACUGAUUCUGGACAAUGGAACGAGGGCAGAAAUGAUGAAGGUCAUUUUUCCAGCCUAGUCCAUGCAAUAUGUGGCCUGGUUUUCUAUGCUCACUCUCUCUGGCUGGAAGCAAAUGACCCCAAGAUGCCAGAGCCAUACCAUGAAAAGAGACUGGACCUCUGA